rnacentral:rRNA from 1 species
GACGAACGCUGGCGGCGUGCUUAACACAUGCAAGUCGAACGGAAAGGCCCUGCUUUUGUGGGGUGCUCGAGUGGCGAACGGGUGAGUAACACGUGAGUAACCUGCCCUUGACUUUGGGAUAACUUCAGGAAACUGGGGCUAAUACCGGAUAGGAGCUCCUGCUGCAUGGUGGGGGUUGGAAAGUUUCGGCGGUUGGGGAUGGACUCGCGGCUUAUCAGCUUGUUGGUGGGGUAGUGGCUGACCAAGGCUUUGACGGGUAGCCGGCCUGAGAGGGUGACCGGCCACAUUGGGCCUGAGAUACGGCCCAGACUCCUACGGGAGGCAGCAGUGGGGAAUAUUGCACAAUGGGCGGACGCCUGAUGCAGCAACGCCGCGUGCGGGAUGACGGCCUUCGGGUUGUAAACCGCUUUCGCCUGUGACGAAGCGUGAGUGACGGUAAUGGGUAAAGAAGCACCGGCUAACUACGUG